AGUGAACGCUGGCGGUAGGCCUAACACAUGCGAGUCGAACGGCAGCACAGUAAGAGCUUGCUCUUACGGGUGGCGAGUGGCGGACGGGUGAGGAAUACAUCGGAAUCUACUUUUUCGUGGGGGAUAACGUAGGGAAACUUACGCUAAUACCGCAUACGACCUACGGGUGAAAGCAGGGGAUCUUCGGACCUUGCGCGAUUGAAUGAGCCGAUGUCGGAGUAGCUAGUUGGCGGGGUAAAGGCCCACCAAGGCGACGAACCGUAGCUGGUAUGCGAGGAUGAUCAGCCACCCUGGAAGUGGGACACGGUCCAGAGUCCUACGGGAGGCAGCAGUGGGGAAUAUGGGACAAGGGGCGCAAGCCUGAUCCAGCCAGACCGCGUGGGUGAAGAAGGCCUUCGGGUUGUAAAGCCCUUUUGUUGGGAAAGAAAAGCAGUAGGUUAAUACCCCGCUGUUCUGACGGUACCCAAAGAAUAAGCACCGGCUAACUUCGUG
rnacentral:rRNA from 1 species